CAGUAGCCACGGGAAUACGGAGGGUGCAAGCGUUAAUCGGAAUUACUGGGCGUAAAGCGUGGGCAGGCGGCUAUGCAAGACAGAUGUGAAAUCCCCGGGCUCAACCUGGGAACUGCAUUUGUGACUGCAUGGCUAGAGUACGGUAGAGGGGGAUGGAAUUCCGCGUGUAGCAGUGAAAUGCGUAGAUAUGCGGAGGAACACCGAUGGCGAAGGCGGCCAUCUGGGACAACACUGACGCUGAGGCACGAAAGCGUGGGGAGCAAACAGGAUUAGAUACCCCCGUAGUCCCUGUCUCUUAUAA
rnacentral:rRNA from 1 species